rnacentral:misc_RNA from 1 species
AACACACAUUGCGCCCCUUGGUAUUCCGGGGGGCAUGCCUGUUCGAGCGUCAUUAUAACCCUCAAGCCUAGCUUGGUGUUGGAGCAUGCUACCUCAGCAGCUCUUAAAUCAGUGGCAGUACUCUCCGGCUCUAAGCGUAGUAAUUCUUCUCGCUAUGGAACCCGGAGGGUACGCGCCAGAACCCUCAACUUUCUAUGGUUGACCUCGGAUCAGGUAGGGAUACCCGCUGAACUUAA